AUUACAGGCAUGAGCCACUACACCCAGCCAAAUUCUCCAUUCUUUUACAUUUAGGUUAUUUCUGAUUUUUUUUGCUAGUAUAAAUAAUGCUGACAAACAUCGUUUUGAUAAAUCUGUGUAUGCAUCCCUGGGUUUUUUUUAGAAUUAAUUUUUAGAACUAGAAUAACUAGGUCAAAGACAAGUACAUGUGUAUUUUUAAUGCUUUUGGUAGGUUUUUCUAGGCCUUAUAAUAACACUUAUCAGAAUAAAAUAAUUGUGUAUUUACCUGUUUUUAUCUCACUUGUCUAUAAGUUCUUUCAGAACAAGGACUUGCUCGUGUUUGUAUUUAUAGCAUUUGGGAUAGUGCCUAGCAUAUUACAAAUGUCAAUAAAUGUUGAAUAAAUGAAUGGAAAGAAAUAUUGGUAAGGUGGUUCACGGCAAUUGAAGUUUAGCCAUAAGCUAAUAUAGAUCCUAUGUAAAGCAGUAUUUUCCAAGAUAUGUUCCGUGUCAUUCAUUCAUUCAGCAAAUAUUAAUCAGCCUCAGAUAUUGUCUUGUACCUCAACAAUGAUUGCUGAUCCUUACAGUGCUUGCAAAUCUAGUGAGAAAAGCUAAAUGCAUUAAAUAAUAAGAAGAAACGAUUAUAGUUUACGAUAAACAUGUAGGAAAUAAACAGGAUACUGCCAUAGAACUGCGCAAACUUUAGCCUGUAUCAGAAUCACCUGAAGGGCUCGCUAAUACACAUGGAUUUGCCACACCCCAGAGUUUCUGAUUCAGCAGGUCUAGGGUGGGGCCUGAGAACUUGCAUUCCUAACAAGUUCCCAGAUGUUCCUGAUGCUGUUGGUUUCAGGACCACAUUUUGAAAACUACUGUGAUAGGGAGUAACAUCGAGAAGGGCAAGGGAGAAGGCUGUGCUUUAGGUGGUUACAAAAGCUUUGCCUGGCCUGUAAUCCCAGCACUUUGGGAGGCUGUGGCAGGCAGAUUGCUUGAGGCCAGGAGUUCAAGACCAGCCUGGCCAACAUGGCAAAACCCUGCCUCUACUAAAAAUACAAAAAUUAGCCAGGCAUGGUGGCACAUACCUGCUUUCCCACCUACUUGGGAGGCUGAGGCAGGAGAAUCACUUGAACCUGAGAAGCAGAGGUUAAAGUGAGCAAUUCAGCCUCAGCCUCAGUGAGAGGCAGAGUGAGAGACUGUCUCAAAAAAAAAAAAAAGUAACAACAAAUCUUUGCCUGACGAUAAGAUAGUUAAGCUGACACCUGAAGGAUUAAGAGCUGUAAAAAGUCUCAGAAACACUAGGCAGAUGCGACAGCAAAUCUCCAGGAACAGGAAAGAGCUGGGAGGAGGCCAGUGAGACUUGCAGUUAAUGAGGAAGAAAAUAAUAGUCAAAGUUGGAGAUGUGGGCCCAAUGUCAGAUGGUGUGGGCCCAGCGUCAGAUGGUAUGGGACCUUAUAGAUCAUGGGAAGAAGUUUGGAUUUUACCUUAAUGCAGUGGAAAGCCAGUUUAUAUUCUAAAGAGAUCACUCUGUGUUAAGAGGAAAAAGGAUGCAAAAUAAGCAGGAGGUGAAUGGAGAGACCAGAUUUGGAGGCCAUGACAGUGGACAGUGAGAGAUGAGGUUGGUCUGAGCUGGGGAGUGACAGUGGAGAUAGUGAGAAGAGGAGGGAAUAAAACUGUUAACCAUUUCACCCCCAGGAAUUUCUUGGGAAGCAUUGGCUACAACAAAAUUACAACCAGUUCUUAGGACUUGCAUGGUGGCUCUUUGGGACUUUGGGAGUCCAGGGCAGAUGGAUUGUUUGAGUUCAGGAGUUCAAGACCAGCCUGGGCAACAUAGCGAAACACUGUCUCUACAAAAAAUAAAAAAAUUAGCUGGGUAUGGUGGCAUGCACCUGUAGUCCCAGCUACUCGGGAGGCUGGGGUGGGAGGAUUGCUUGAGCCUGGGAGGUGGAGACUGUAGUGAGCUGUGAGUGUGCCACUGCACUCCAACCUGGGUGACGGAGUAAGACCCUGUUUCAAAAAAAAAAAAGAAAACCAAUUGUUAACUGCUAGAGUUUUCAGAUCCUUUCAAAUGACAAUGCUUAUUGUGAAUCUCUAAUAAGAUAUUUUUCCCCAGAGGACCUCAGGUAAUUGUUUUAAAAAAUAUAUGGCUCUGGAAAAAGCUAUAGAGACAGUCAAAAGAUCAGCAGUUGCCAGGGUUUGGGGAGAGGGAGGAGUGAAUAGGUUAGGCACAGAUCAUUUUUAGGGUGGUGGAACUACUGUAUAUGAUUCUAUAGUGGUAGAUACGUGUCAUGCUACAUUUGUCCAAACCCUGGAAUGUGCAAUGCGAAGAGUGAACCCUAAUGUAAACUAUGGACUUUGGGUGAUAAUGAUGUGUCAACAGAGGUUCAUCGAUUGCAACAAAUGAACCACUGUGGUGGAGGUUGUUGAUAAUGGGGAGGCUGUGCAUGUGUGGAAGCAGGGAGUGUAUGGGAAAUCUCUAUAGCUUGUACUCAAUUUUUCUGUGAACUUAAAACUGCUCUAAAAAAGUCUACUAAAUAUAUAUAUAUAGGUGUGUGUGUGUGUGUGUAUGUAUGUGUGUAUUGGAGUCAUAAUUUAAACAUCAGCCAUUUCAAAGCUUCUUGCCUUGUGUUGGCUUCAGCAGCAUGGGAACUUGUUAGAAACACUUCCUACUGAAAGAUUCACUCUAUACCACGGAAGAACCAGCUGCAGAGUCAGUGACAGUCUUAGGAAUAUGGUACCAGGAGCAUUUCUGACCAUGGACUGCUAACCCCAGGCAAAACAUCUUUUUUAAACCUAAAAAUACUGGAAUAAAUUUUUGUGGGAAGAAUGGAAUUUGAUUCUUUAUCAUCAGCAAAAUACAUCAAAGACUACUAAGUAUGUGGUACAGUAACUUUUCAUGAGCUGUUAAAGUUAGCAAAGACAUCUUUCUGCAUUUAAGCUAGGAGCACAUUACAGAAAGUAUAAUGAGGGCUUUUCAAGAGAUGCCAUUGGCUCCUUUUUCCUCAAAUAAUUAUUAAUGAUUUAAUGAUACUUAUUUUCCUUUAAAAGAACAUGUUUAGGUAUCACCAUCUUAAUUCUUUAAUCACCAGAUGAUAAUAAAUGGAGAGUCUAAAAAGUUCUGUCCAAAACAACCAGUCUAAACACUUUCCCAAAGUGACUAUUUUCCGGGCUUGAAAGUUACCAGCAUGAGAAAUCGUGAUCCAGUGAAGGCAUACGUGUGUCAGGGUGACUUAAUUAAAGUCUCUCUGAUGGCUGUUUGAGAAAACUAAUGGGUUUCUUUGUCUAAAUCCAAAAGCUCCUAUGAUAUUAAGUUUACCCCAAUCACUUCCUGUGGUGUGAAAUAUGCAUUAACUAUCUUCUCUACAAAUCUGAUGAGAAAACCAAGUUCUAAAUGUAAUGUGUGUCAUGUUGGAAGAAUCUGGAUAAAAGUAUUUGAGCCAGUGUAGUAGAUGUUAAGAAACAAAGCAUGGUCUUGAUUAUUUCACAUUGCGCACAGUUUAACUAUUUAUAAUUUAGAGUGGCAAUUUAGAUGUUACCAAUAAUAAGUCAGAUGCUAACACAAAGGGUUUUGGCCACUUCUCAUAAUAUGUGGUUUAUGUUGCUCCUUCCAUGUUCUGGGCACUGUUCUUCAAAUGCAGGCUUAACUUUGAGGCUCAGAGGAAUAAGGAAAAAGAGAUAGAUUUUCCUUAUUUCUCAUAUGUUGUUAAAGCCCUUAUGAAACUUUCUUACCAGAAUGGUAAUGACUCUGAAAAUUACCCUAGUACAAGGUGUGAAAACACACACUGCCUAGACGUGGAUUUCCUGUGCUCAGUCUAGCUAAGGGAUGUGAAAGCAUUCAGAUAUCAUAUGAAAACUACAUCUUAUAAUGUAUGAAUGUGAAAUAUAGUUAUUAUUUACAUCUGUGUUUCCAAGCAACCUUUUAAAAUUUGAUAUCACAUUUUCUAUAGCAUAUAAGAAAUCUUCACUGAUUUGGAACUUAAAAAAGAAGAUACAUUUGUCAUAAAAUAGUAUGUAUGACACACUUUUAACAAAAUCUACUUAUUCUUCUGAAACCUCUAUGUGUUUUCUACCAAGAGUUUAAUUAUUGGCCUUAUUAACUCUUUUUAUACCUGAGGAUAAUUAAAUUCUUAAUUGUACUGCAAUGACAUAUGAUUCAAGUAGCUUAAUAUUUUGGCAAUAACUAGGAAGAUCCACUAGGAUGGUUUAGAUGGGGCAGAGUACGUGUGCGUGUGCGUGUGUGUGUGCGUGUAUCUCUCUCUCUCUCUCUCUCUCUCUCUCGGGAUAGAGAUGUUCCAUAAAGAGACAUCUCUUGGCUAGCAAGAUCACCUCUUGAGAUUAGAAGGACUUAAAUUAUCUUAACUGUAGCAGCCACCAAAAGGCCUGGGACCUGUGACAUUCCCACUGAGGUUGCCUAUGACUGAAUGGAGAUGUAUAAUGGAGAGUAAUGAACUCACUCUUGCAGGUGCAGCAGAAGUAGACAAGUAUGUGAUCAAGGGAUAAGGACUCUGGGGAAAUGGAGCAUGAGAGCUGAGAGAUGCCUGCUUAAAACAUUUUAUCCAUUAGGGGAAUGAUUCUGGGUCCAAAAGUUAUGUUUGGUUGUAUAAUUACUGACUUGAGCCAUCCAGAAGAGGCAAUAGACUUGUGUAUUUGCUUGAGUUGGAAAGGAAUGAAGAAAUAGCGCCCUAAAUACUCCUGCGAAAUAAUAACUUUCAUUCCACCCUAAAGCCAAAGUGAUAUAUCCAAAUGUAAAUCUGUUCCUACUUAAAAAUCUUCAGUGGCUCCUGGCUUCUCAGGGUAAAUUCCUUCAAAAGUGGGCCCACAAGGCUUUUGUCAUCUGGUGCCUGCCCACCCCCCUCCAGACUCAGGUCCCUACAGCCCACAGCUGGAGUGCCCCUUCCACUUUCCGUCAUGGGGCUGGCUCCAUGAAGUCCUUCAGACUCAAACCAGCUUCCAUCUUCUCUGUGUUGAGCUGGUUGCCCCUCUCUGUGUGUUCUGCCACCUGUACGUUUCUCUUUUCUGUGAAAUUCCUUUUAAUAAUUAUAUUAAAAUUGUUGCCAGGAUCAGUGGCUCACACCUGUAAUCCCAGCACUUUGGGAGGCCAAGGCAAGAAGAUAGUUUGAGGGCAGAAGUUCAAGACUAGCCUGUGCAAUAUAGUGAGACCCCCCUCUACAAAAAAUAAAAUAUAAAAAUUAGCCAGGCAUGGUAGCACAUGCCUGUAGUCCCACCUACUUGGGAGGCUGAGACAGUAGGAUCACUUGAGUCCAUAAAGUCAAAGUUGCAGUGAGCCAUGAUAGCACCAGUGCAUUCCAGCCUGAGAGACAGAGCAAGACCUUUGGAAAGAAGGGUCCUUGUCUUAACUCAUUUUUGGGUCCCAGUCCUUAACAUAGCAGGUGGCACAUGACAGGUGCUUGGUAAGCAUUCUUUUAACAGAACUGUGGGAAACCUAAAUUGCUGUAGCUUUUAUUUCUGUGGCUAAUAAAUUAUUUUCACUGCAUUUGGUCUUGCUUACCUCCUUAUGAGCAGCAGAAAAGCAGUUGUAAUAAGCUACCAUUUAUUGAGCACCAGCCAAGAGUCAGUUCGUGUGUUGGGUAUGUCACAUGCAUUAAUGCUUACUGAAUUGCCAAAAGAGUCAUACCACUCUUGGGUAAGAUUAUCAUCAUCAUCAUCCUUUCCAAACAAGAAACCAGAGGCUCAGAGAGGUUGAGAAACAUACCGGAAGAUCCUCAACCAGCAUUUGAACCAGCUGCGUUAUUUCUAUCCUAUACGCUAGGAAGCUGUCCCUUGGUGGGUUCCCGUUUAUCAAAUAGCACAUUUCCCUGUCUGUGCCCUGGAGCUAUUUCCAUUUCCUCCUUCAUGUUUGCUUACUAGACCCUGAGCAGGUCGUGGAGCAAAAGCACUUUGGAUGCCAGUGACAAGGGUGUGAUUCCAGAGUUGAAGGCUGAUGUUUUAACUGUGCGUUCAGUUCAGGUUGUUAUUGAUUUCUCUCCUCUCCACUUUGUUAUGGCCAAGUGCUCCAGGCAGAAAUCUAGCAAAACAGGCUCACAGAGCUGCUCUUGGAGCCAGGCGGGUCACAGGUCACUCCACUGAUGUGCGGGGCACAUUAGCCAAAUGACAGAGGCUCAACUAGAGAACUCAAAGUGACCGUAGUCAGAUGUUGGUGAUAUUCCACACAUGUUCCUUAUUACCUACCAGCCUGAAGCAGGGCAGACCUGGACUUGGUCUGGUUUGCUUCCAGGACAAUGAUGCUAGUCGCCCAGGCCUUCUAUGAAUCCACAGCCUCUUGACCACAACAAUUACACUGCAUUAUAAUUACUUGUCUAGGUGCCUGUCUUCAUUCCUAUGAGUUUCUUAAGCAUGAUGGUUGGGUGCCGUGCAUCCCUAUUUAUUUAUUCAAGUCACAACUGUUAAGCACAGACUGUACUUCAAGUUCUGUGCCUGACUCUGGAUAUAUGGAGAUGAAUAGAAUGGAUUAGACCAGAAAUCUGUUCCCAAAGAGUAUGUAGAUAUGUAAGAAAUAACUACUAAAAACUGUUGUGAGAAUGCUUAGAUAUUUUUCAUCUCUAUUACCCAAAAUCUUAGCACAGCACCUUGAAUAGAAAGAGUAGUGAACAGAACUGAGUGCUGACUGUAUGCCUGGAACUGUGUUAUGUGUUUUAUAUUCACUAUCUCAUUUAAUCCUCAUAACUGCCUUCUGUGCAGCUUUCGGUACUAUUUUCUUCUCCAUUUAAUAGAUGGGGAAACUGAUGCCUUCAGAGAAUGCUGAAGUGAGUGAAUUCAAGUGUAGUCUUCCCAUUGAGUCCACGUUGUUCAUAACUGCUUAUUGUUGCUUCCUAAAAUCUAUGAAAGAUUAUUCUAUAUUCUGCAGUAAACUGUUCUUUUGUUUUAGCCAAUAUCAGUAACUUUUUUCUUUAACAUUUUGUCCAUUAAAGGAAUUCUACCAGUCCCAAGAGCAUGUUGUAUGAAAUCAUAUCAUUCCAUUAUGUUUGAGUGGCCAUUUGGAGUCAGAGCUGUUUAAGAAAUACUGUCAGGCUAAGAUGCUAAGAUGUCUUCAGGCUGGAAGGUUUAGGUCCCAAGACAGAUUGGAAAUGUAGUGCUUGUCAGCUCCUCCUACAGCCCUUCUCUGCCAUCAUUCCCACAUACACUCUGCAGAGAGCUCAAUGCGGUUUGCUAUCUGACAAACAUCCUAGAUUAGUGAGUCCCAUCUUUUUUUAUCCCUCAUCAAGCCAGGGAAACAUUACUAAAUUAUCACACAUUAAACAUGUUACACACCAGGCACCAUGCUAGGUGUUUUACAAACAUCUCCUCAUACUGUAAUUAUUAUUUUCCAUCUUAUUGAUCAGAAAACUGAGGUUAAAAAAGAAAUGAGACAUGGCCAAAAUUUCAGCUCAGGCAAUCUGACUACAAAAUCCAGACAGUUACAACCCUCAAAUAUUUUCUUUUUUUUUUUUAAAUUUUAUUAUUACUAUACUUUAAGUUUUAGGGUACAUGUGCACAACGUGCAGGUUUGUUACAUAUGUAUACAUGUGCCAUGUUGGUGUGCUGCACCCCCCACUUCCCACACCCCACAACAGUCCCCAGUGUGUGAUGUUCCCCUUCCUGUGUCCAUGUGUUCUCAUUGUUCAAUUCCCACCUAUGAGUGAAAACUUGUGGUGUUUGGAUUUUUGUCCUUGUGAUAGUUUGCUGAGAAUGAUGGUUUCCAGCUUCAUCCAUGUCCCUACAAAGGACAUGAACUCAUCAUUUUUUAUGGCUGCAUAGUAUUCCAUGGUGUAUAUGUGCCACAUUUUCUUAAUCCAGUCUAUCGUUGUUGGACAUUUGGGUUGGUUCCAAGUCUUUGCUGUUGUGAGCAGUGCCGCAAUAAACAUACAUGUGCAUGUGUCUUUAUAGCAGCAUGAUUUAUAAUCCUUUGGGUAUAUAUCCAGUAAUGGGAUGGCUGGGUCAAAUGGUAUUUCUAGUUCUAGAUCCCUGAGGAAUCGCCACACUGACUUCCACAAUGGUUGACCUAGUUUACAGUCCCACCAACAGUGCAAAAGUGUUCCUAUUUCUCCACAACCUCUCCAGCACCUGUUGUUUCCUGACUUUUUAAUGAUCGCUAUUCUAACUGGUGUGAGAUGGUAUCUCAUUGUGGUUUUGAUUUGCAUUUCUCUGAUGGCCAGUGAUGAUGAGCAUUUUUUCAUGUGUUUUUUGGCUGCAUAAAUGUCUUCUUUGAGAACUGUCUGUUCAUAUCCUUUGCCCACUUUUUGAUGGGACAACCCUCAAAUAUUUUCUUCAAUACCCCUGGUAAACUUCAACAGCAAUUUUUCAACUAUGCGAGUCAAGGGUGGGUGAGAGUGAAGUUUGAAAAAGCACCCCUCCCCUCAGCCAGGUAUUUCCAAUGCAUCCCUCACCCACAAAAUCACAGCAGAGCAUGCAGACCAUACUAAUAAUUCCAGGUGCACCUUAACUUCUGAGGUCUCUUCUGACUUGCAGCUCCUCAGUCUCUUCCUCCUUUAAAUCUAGAGCAUAUUUGCUUUAAAUUGUUUAGUUUGAUAAUUCAUCACAUACAGUCUUAUCACCUCACAUCUUCCACUUGGGUAUCUUGCCUGUCUUUUCCAGCAAGAGUAUGAGUUGCUGGAGAGCAGAGAGUUCAUUUCAUCCCAUAAUAGCACAUGGUGGCCACAAAGACACUUAAUAAAUGCUGCUUGUUUGCUUAAAUAGAGGCAGUAUAGUUUGCUGAACUCUGGAGGCAGACAAGCUUAAUUUUCUACUUACUAGCUAUGCAGUGAAAAUUAUAAAAAUUCCAUAUACUUCAGUUCCUUCAUCUGCAAAAUAGAGAUUAAAGCAAUACCUUAUAGGGUUGCCAGGAAUAUUAAGAGGGUACAUAUAAAGCACUUGGCAUAGUUCCUAACACAUAAUAUGCACUCAAUAAAUAGUAAUUAUUGAUGUUAUUACACAACAGCUGAAUUUAUUCGUGUUUACUGUGUGUUACAUGCUGUGCUAAAUGCUUUGUAUGCAAUUAUCAUUUAAUUUUUACAUAAUAUAGGAAGCAGAUUUAGCUUCUAAACAAACACACCUUUCUUGUUACCCAAAAGUUAUUUAAGAUUAUCAGAUGCUCUCACUGUCUUCAGAGUUGUGUCAUAGGAUGGGAAGGCACAAAUAUGAUAUUGUAAUACACUAUUGGCACAUCAUAUAACUGUAAGACAUCACAAUAACUACUAACAACAACUAAAGCACUGGAGUUGACAAAUGUUUUGCUCUUUUAUAUAAAUUAAUAUAGAUUCAAAAUAAUUAUGAUACCAGCACUUCCUGUUCUUAUACCCUCCGUCACAAAUGAAAAAAAAAAAAAGGGAAGAAAUGGAUUUGCCAGUCAGACCCACCCAUAUGGACACUUCAUUAAUAUAUGUUAUUAUGAAGAAUAGGGUGUGUAUAGAUGAAGAUACCUGCAGAGGAUGUUGAGAGUGCAACAGGAAGGGAUGCACCUAAUUCAACUUGGAAGGUGGAGGCAAGGAGAGCUUUCUAGAGGUGAUGCCUGAGCAGAGUCUUGGAGGAUAAGUAAGAGUUUCUUAAGCCCACAGGGGAGGUGGGGGUGAAGGUGGGGACAGAACAAUCAGAAUUCUGUUGCUGAUUGGCUGACUCUAAACAUGUCAGUAAUGUGCCUUUAAACUCAGUUUUAGUUUUCUGCGAUGGAUAAUUCCUUUUUCCCUGAGUGUUAUGAGGUUGGCUUAAUUAAUGUUUGCAAAGCUUUCAGUAAUCUUCAGAUAAAAGGUGAGGUAGAGGGGAAGUAUAUUACUUAUUAUCAUAGCUUUACCAGCAUCUGAUCACAUAAGGAAAAUUCCCUGAAAGGUCAUUUCUAAGAAGCAAUAUUAUUAGUCUGGUGGUUCUUAAGCCUUAUGUAACUUCCUGGAACAAUGCAAUAGCAAGGGAGAAAAAUGACAUCAACAUGGAGAUAAUAAUGAAUUUAAAUCAUAAGCCUUAUUUCCUUACUGCAGCUGCUGAGUAUGAGACAAGCUUGAAGCUUCUAAACUUAACUCAGCCACUGCCUGGAAGCAUCUAAUUAAAAGUUUUCAAAUAAAAUAAGUAAGUUUUUGUAGAUAAAAGAGCAGAUGGCUUAAGAAGAGAACUGAAAGACUGCAUUAGGAAAGUAUUAGGUUUUAAUUCCAUUUGGGAAAAAAAAAAUUCCAUGUAAGAGAGGGCAGGGAUUGGAAGUAAAAAAACCUAGGGGUCUGUAGAGACAGGAUUAGGGCCUGUGCUAUCAUAAAUGUAGCUGUGAAAUUUUAGUUUGUAGGAUAACUAAAUUUUUCUGUUGCUCAGGAUUAUUCCUAUGACCUACAGAAGAUAUUCUCUGUCUUCUGCAAACCAGUGUCCUUCCAUUCCCCAGAGUGGUUUCUGUUCAUUCUUCCUUUCUUUCAUUUGACCCGUAGGUAUUAAGCUCCUACUAGGUACUGGUACUUCUUUAGAUGCUAAGGAUUCAGGAUGGGGAAAAAUCAGACAAAGUUUGUGGCGUCUCAUGGAGCCAACUUAAUGGGGAACUCAUUCAUUAGUGAAUUGGCUAAUGAAAUAUAGCUCGUGAAAAUAUUUAAAUAUUUUUAAAUGUCAUGUAAACAUUUGCUGUUAUUUCAUCAUGAUAGUGCCGUAUUUGUAUUUUAUUAAUUUAAUAAAAUACUUGGACAGAUGUCAUAAUGAAUCCUCAUAACAAGCCUUUGAGGUAAUGUUGGUAACUUUUAGCCAAGAGGAAAGAGAAAUUCAAAGAAUGAGGGUUCUUGCCCCAGAUCACAAAGCUGUUUCAUGGUAGAGCUGAGACUGAAACCUAGCUCCUCUGGUGCUAGUUCACCUGUUGCUUUUGCUGCUACAGAUUGAGCCUUUGGGGCAAUCAUUGAAAUUUUGGUUAUCUAUCAUUUGUAAAUCUCUAAGCCAAGGAGAAUGCUUGUAUGAGUAACUCCAGAGAAAGCAGACAUCACUGAUGUUAAUGUUGAGAGGAAGGGGUGGCCUGUCACAAAGAAUAUCACAUAAACAGAACCAUAAUGUGAGCAAAAUCAACUGAGGAAUAGCAUCACAAUGCCAAGCUCCAUAUCUGGACAGGUCUGAGUAGCUGAGAGGUUUCAUGUCCUUCCUUGGUUGUUUUCCUUUGGACAUCUCCUUAUGUCUACUCAGCUUCAUUUCAGGCGACCAAGCCUUCAAGGUGCAUGGAAGAGUUCCGCUUGGCCUCAAAGCUUUGUGGAAAAUGGAAGUUUAAACCCUGUAGGUUUUCUUGGCCUUCAAAAGCCAAGGUGAUGUCAGGGCAAAGGGUUCCACUUGGAUGCAGAUCAAGUCACUGGUUAUUUCUGGAACUUUCUUGCAGUUUGGUUCCACAGGAUAGUCUAAGUACCAGUGUGAUUUGGGAUACAAGCAAUAUUCUUGUAUUCUUUCCUUCCCCCAUAUCGCAUGUUUGUACAGAUUUCAGAGAUCCAUAUAUUAAAUUUGGGACACUCCAGGGAAGACCCCUAUGUCCUCUGUGCAAGACACAUAGCAACUAGUGAGGCCAUCUAUGUUUUCCAGACACCCCUGCAUGUCCAAAACAAUGUCCUCUUCAAAGUCACCUCAAAUGGGGCUUCCAUCUCUCGCCUUCCACCCAUUUUCCUUUAAACUCCAAAGCAGUUGUAGUUCUCUGCUGGUAUGUGUCUCUUUCUUCUAUUUUUGUGUUCCUACUGUGGUCCCUCCGUUCCACAAUCCUCACCCUACAUGGCAGCCAGUACUAUCUUUAAAUAUGUGUAUGCAAUAGAUAUUUAUAUGUGAUACCAUUAUAUAAAGUUUUCACUAAAUGUCAUAAAUUUAUAUAAAACCAUGUUCCCGCUCUACUUCUAAACCUUCUGUGGCUUCCCUUUGUACACAGCACAAAACUGUCACAUUCCACCAUGGCCUGGGCAACCUGCCUACCUCCCUCCCUCUCCACUCAGCCCCCAAUUCCAUUGCCUGUCAGUUCCUCACACUUGCCAUGCUCUCUCCUCCUUCAAGCCCUCACUCCUGAUCUUCCCUCCACCAGGACUGUUCUUCCCCAUGUGUUUUGAAAGGCUGGCCUUUCACAUCCUAAAAACAAGAAAACCCCACUCUCACUCAGAGCUUCAUUCUCUAGCUCCACUCUCCAUUGUCUACCCUCCUUAAUCUUAAUUUGUCUGCCUCCUCCACCAGAAUGUAAGUGUUGCAAGGAGAGGAACCACAUUUGACAUAUCCUUGGAGCUUCAGCCUGCCUGGCAGAGAGCUGUGCAGUAAUUGAAUGAAUGGUGGAUGUGCCUUGUUACCCAUCCAGCCUAAAAUGCAGCUCACUGCACAUACAAACAACAGUCACUGAAUGUUGACUAUGCAUCAGGCAUUCUUUUAAGUACACGACAUGAAUUCACUCAUUUAAUUCUCAUGGAAACCAUGUGAUGCUGGUACUAUUAUUAUCAGCCCCAUUUUUCAGAUAAGAAAACUGAUAAGUUAAAGGGUUUUAAAUAUCUAACAGAAAAAUAAUUUGCUUAAGACUUUGCAGCCAGAAAAUGACAGAGCUAGGAUUCAAACCCAGGCAUCCCAGAGGCUACCUUUUAACUUUCCUGUCUUCCUGCAGAAAAGAUUCACAUAUACUUUUCAGUUAAUCGAAAGAAACUUGGAAUACACACUGCAGCAUGGGGAAAAUGAAGAAACCUCACAUCUGCCGUAGUGUAUUCUUUCCCAGGCUGAGGAAGCUAGCAUGCAGUAUCAUUAUUUCUUUAGUGUGUCCAUAUGAAAGGAAAACCAGAGUAAUCUCUGCAGAUGCUGGGAUUGAAAGAAUCAUUGUCCCCUCAUCAGAAAGGAUAAUUAAGAGCCCCUCUGCCCAUUAAAUGAGGCAAUGAAUGGUAACCCACUUUGUAGGGUAUAAAAUGCCCUAUAAAUGUUAGUUAUUCUUAUUCCCAAGCUCUAUGGAACAGCGGCUUAUGUUACAAAACUACUGAUUCAGAAUCUUUCAGAAGUACUAAAUCUACUCAGUAGUCAAGAGAAGGAAAUGCCUCUGGUUUGUUCCUUCCCAUCAUCCUGAAAAUUAAACAGCAAUCCAUUCUUCUCCUGCAUUUCCAAAAUCCAGGGUCAGAGAUAUGCAAAUGUAAGUAUGCAGGCUGCUUUUAAAUGAUACAUGAAAGGGAUUUUUGAAAUGAAUGUGCUGUGAUUGAAUUUCUGGUCAGUCACCCAGAAGGCAUUUUGCAGCUAAGCUCUGGACCCAAUUCCACUGAAAAUGCAUAAGCUUUGGUGCCUGCAGCCAGUCUAGCCACAGACGAGGAUCAGGGUCCUUGCCUUGGAACUGCUAUUAAAUGAUGCAGACCCCCAGGCUCGAAGUUGAAAAACAAAUUAGCACAAGCCUAAAAGAAAUCCAAUACAAAGUUUACUUUUAAAAUACCUUUUCCAUAACCUUACCUGACAACAAAACCUCUUUGAUUUUAAACCAUUUGAUGAAACCACAGUGCAUUAAUAUAUAACUUGGCUUUUUCAGUAGAGCUUAUCUUUGUCAUUUUCAAAAUAAUUUGGAUGCUCUUUGGGAAUACAAAUAUUGCCAAUUGGUGUUGUCCAAAGAAAGGUCUCUUUGACCUGCUUUAAUAAUAGAUAAGAAACAUGAGUAAAAAUGAUCAUUUAUUAUAUAUGACUUAUGCUAAGGUGAUUUUUAAGAGUAACUGACAGGAGUUGGCUUUCUUAAGUAGGUUGGAGAGCUCCGCUGAUAACCUUGUUUAUUAUUAAAUGAGUUUGCUAAGCAACCCUUUUACUUGAAGGUGAUCAAAGGUAAACCUCAGCUUUAUCUGACUUGCCAUGAAAUUCCAAAGUAGUAGAAUUUUACAUUGUAUUUCUUCCCUUUUAGUGCUUUCUAAAAUUAUGUCAGUAAUGCAUGUAUGAAUGCAUGUAUAACAAAAAUAGAGACACAACAGGUGAAGCUAAUCUUAUCCCCACCCUCCAUCCCUCUCCUCUCCACUUCUCAGAGGUAACCCCUUCAUCACUAUGGCACAUCUCCUGCCAAACCUUUCUCUAAACAUUUGUCUCCAUGUGUGUAUUGUUAAGUUAUUUAAAAAUUUAUGUUUAUAUAAACGGUGUAUUGUUGUCAAUUGCUGCCAUGAACAGUGACUUGAAAUAACAAAUAUUUACUAUCUCUCACACUUUCUGAGAGUGAGCAAUCCAAGGGCACUAAGCUCUGGGGGGUUCUAGUUCAUGAUCUCUCCUGAAGUUGUAGUCAGGGUCUAAGCCAGGACUACAGUCAUUUGGAAGCUUGACUGGGACUGGAGGAAGUGCUUCCAUCAUGGCUCACCAACACAGCUGUUGCCUGGAGUCUUCUGUCCAUCACUGGCUAUUGACAGGAGGCUGCCACAUGGGCUUCUCCACAGGGUUCCUGGAGUGUCCUUAAAACACAGUAGUUGGCAUCCUCUAGAGUGAGUGAUGGGAGAGUAAAAGAAUGAAAGAGAGAGAUCAAGAAGGAAGCCACAAUACCUUUUUAUUACCUAGUCUUGGAAGUGGCACCUUGUCAUUUAUGCCAUAUUCUGUCCACUAGAAAUGAAUUACUAAGUCUGGCCCAAACUCAAGUGGAGGCGAAUUAAGCUGCAUCUCAUAAGGGAAAGAGUAUCGAAGAACUUCUGUAUGUAUUUUAAAACCACUACAUAUGGCAUAGUGCACAUAUGCUUCUGCAAAUUUGCUUUUUUCGCUUAACAAUCUUAGUUUUCCAUGACAAUACAUGGGGGUCAACUUCAUUCUCUUUAGUUGCUGCAUGCUAUUCCACUACCUAUUUAAUCAUUCUCCUCCUGAUGAGUACACCUCGAGAUCGCUCCCAGACUUUCACUUCUGCAGAUGACACAGCAAUGGGGGUACUUGCUUACUCCUCAGCACAUGUGCCAGGAUUUCUCUAGUAAAAAUGCAUUGAUGCAGAAUUGCUGAGUUGAAGGGUCUGCUUAUUAUAACAGUUAUGGCUAAAUUGCCCUCCAGAACGGCUGUUGUAAUUUCCAAUCAUCCUUCAUCUGACACGUGGCGGGGGCUUGUGGCAGAACUUUGGUGGGCAAAAUAUCUUGGGGACUUUCAGAUUAUUUUUGGCCCUUUUCAAGCCUGGAUUUAUGAUGAGAAAUUAUCCUGUCUGACACCCACUUUGCUCAUAAUUGCAACCUCUUUCCUACAAUUCUGCUUGAUUUAAGCAAAAAUCCAGAAGCUCAUCCCUCAGGAGACAGGGAAGCUUAACUGCUGUUUACAAAGGACUUGGAGGUUUUCAGGUACAAGUUGCCCCUGGAGAUUCAGGUUGAUUAGUGUUAAUUCAAAACCACUUCCUCUAUUAUGGUAGCAGCUGAGAAGUCACAUGCACAAAUCAAGCAUGUGGAUUUCAAUGAAAAGGAAAAUGCCAUUUCAGUAGCAGCUAUUCCCGGACUCUGGCUGAGCCUUCCUAUGGCAAGUAUUAUUGAUGCAUAAAAUCAUCGAAUCCUCUGGGUCCUCCCACUUCUCACUUAUCUUUAGUUUAAAACCGAGCAUCAGACCGAAUUCCUUACAUUCAAGCUGCCAAGUGUCCUUGGCUGGCAAGAAUCUCCCUCCCUGUAAUAUCAAUAAUUAAUGUCAGCUACCAGUCCUGAGACAGCUGACAAAAGGAACUGGCCUAGUUCAUUUCUACUUAUUUACUGUGUCCAUCUUUGGUGAAAAUGUUUGGUCAGAUUCAAAAUGGUGUGUCACCAAGGCAACCAGCACUUAUUUAUUCAAUACAAACUUAUUGAGGUCCUGCUCUGUGUAAGGUUCUAUACUGUCUAUUCUCUGUGUGUGGGAGAGUAUUCACAUUAUACCCUCACAAAUUUGAAGUCUGAUGAUAAUUAUUACCAAGUAUUUUGCACUUCUUGUGUACCAGACACUGUGCUAAGCAUUUCAUGGACAAUAACUUUUCCUUCUCAUAGCAGCCCUGUUAAGUAGGUAGCAUUCCCUUUUUACCCACAUGUGUCAUGAUAAAUACAAAACCCUAGUUCUGUCAUGGAGCAGCUGCUCAUCUUAUCCAGGUUCUGAACCCAGCUAAGCCCCAGUGCUUGAGAAGGUUGUACUAGUUCUGCUUUUGCCAAAAUGUGUUUCUUUCCACAAGAAGCUCCAUGAAAAAUUUGAAGUCAUAGCCACAGCAUCUAUGCUUCUCAGAGAUCCCUGAGGCCCACAGUGGCUUCUCCUGUGGAUCUCAGCUCAGAGAAGUUUCACCUGUGUUCCCCGAAGUGAUCAGAUCCCCAGAUAAUACACUUUCAUACCUCCAUGUGUCUUUCCUUCAGAGUUUUUAGCACAGUGAAAGUCUGUUGGUGAGAUUAUUUACUAUGGCUCUGCCAGGCUGCUGGAAGCUCCAUGAGGCUGCAGGCAAUGCUUUUUUUCUGCUCAUUUUUGUUUUCCCAGAGCCUGGCACAGUGCCUGCCACAGAUAAUCAAUACUAUUUAAUCCAUUAACUGAUUGCUCUGAAAAGAACUACACACACACACCCCAAAAACCUGGGGACUUAACUUAUCUCACACAUUGCAAACCUCAUUCAGCAAACUUUUACUGAUCUUAUUUCAAGAUCCAGGCACUGAAUUAGGUACUAAAGAUAUUGCAAUAAACUAAGCAGACAUGGCACUUAUUCUCUUAGGUCUUGCAUUUCAGUGGGGAAUCCGGAUGAUAAAUGAGUCAAAUAAAAUGAAUAAGAUAAUUUCAGAUAUGUGUUAAGUUCUGAGAAAUAAAAUGAGCAGCACUGAUAGGAUGAGGGGUGGUCAGGGAAGAUGUCUCCAAAGAGAAGACAUUCGAUGGAGACCUGAAUCAUGAUAA